rnacentral:rRNA from 1 species
GAUGAACGCUGGCGGCGUGCUUAACACAUGCAAGUCGAGCGGAGCGAGGGUGCUUGCACCUUAGCUUAGCGGCGGACGGGUGAGUAAUGCUUAGGAAUCUGCCUAUUAGUGGGGGACAACAUUCCGAAAGGAAUGCUAAUACCGCAUACGCCCUACGGGGGAAAGCAGGGGAUCUUCGGACCUUGCGCUAAUAGAUGAGACUAAGUCGGAUUAGCUAGUUGGUGGGGUAAAGGCCUACCAAGGCGACGAUCUGUAGCGGGUCUGAGAGGAUGAUCCGCCACACUGGGACUGAGACACGGCCCAGACUCCUACGGGAGGCAGCAGUGGGGAAUAUUGGACAAUGGGCGGAAGCCUGAUCCAGCCAUGCCGCGUGUGUGAAGAAGGCCUUUUGGUUGUAAAGCACUUUAAGCGAGGAGGAGGCUCUUAAGGUUAAUACCCUUGAUGAGUGGACGUUACUCGCAGAAUAAGCACCGGCUAACUCUGUGCCAGCCGCCGCAGUAAAAC